rnacentral:snRNA from 1 species
UUGCUCAUUUUGGCAGCACAAAUACUAAAUUUGGAAGAAUACAGAGAAGACUAGCAUGGUCCCUGUGCAAGGAUUUGUGAAUCAUUUGUAAAUUUA